GAUGAAGAACGUAGUGAAAUGCGAUAAGUAAUGUGAAUUGCAGAAUUCAGUGAAUCAUCGAAUCUUUGAACGCACAUUGCGCCCCCUGGUAUUCCGGGGGGCAUGUCUGUUCGAGCGUCAUUUCACCACUCAAGCCUCGCUUGGUAUUGGGCAACGCGGUCCGCCGCGUGCCUCAAAUCGACCGGCUGGGUCUUCUGUCCCCUAAGCGUUGUGGAAACUAUUCGCUAAAGGGUGUUCGGGAGGCUACGCCGUAAAACAACCCCAUUUCUAAGGUUGACCUCGGAUCAGGUAGGGAUACCCGCUGAACUUAAGCAUAUCAAUAAGCGGAGGA
rnacentral:misc_RNA from 1 species